rnacentral:lncRNA from 1 species
GACAUAUAAAAAAAAAAAAACAAGAAGAAGAGACUAAUCUUUCCAAGAAAAAAAAAAAACAAAUUAAAAAAACUGUACCCAUUUAUCGAUUGGAAUAUGUCAAUCCUCAUUACUUUAUGUAUUUGCAAUUGCACACACGUCUCGAGAUCGUCAAAAAUUAAGAGAAAAAAAAAAUGUAUAUGUAUAUCGACUAAAACUGAAGAAAGCAGUCAGGGUUCAAUUCUAUAAUCUCUCUCCCCCCCGCACUUUCUAGGAGUCGACACAUUGGAGAAGUUAUAUAUAUAUACAUAAAAAACAAAAAAAGGAAGACCACAUACCGCUUCGUAGUUGGUUUUUACUUCUCUAUAGCUCACAGUUGUCCGGUACAUAUGUAUAUAUAUAUAUUAUCUGUAUUUGUGUAUGUGUGUAGUAUGUGCGUAUUUGUUAAUCUACUUAUCUUCCCACCGCAGCAAGUUUUCCCAGCACUUUGCCGAAGAAGAAGAAAGAAAAAUAAUAAAAAAAAGGUAUACAUAUCAGGAUGGUUAUAUGAGAUCUUUACAAUGUAUCAUAGAAGCAUUUACUUUAAAAAAAAAAAAAAGAAAAAGUAUUCAUUCCGCGGGCUACGAUUGCCUAAAUGUUAUAUAAACUCUUCUAAGUGUGAAGAGUGUGUUAGUUUGUAAGAUGAAGAAGAUAUGAACUGUUUAAAGAGAGGAAAAAAAAAAAAAGAAAAAAACCCUUUUAAUACUCUAUAUAGACUUUUAGAAUGGAAGGAAUGAAAGUUGUUGAUCAAUUUGAAUUCGUUAAAAAGUUCCCAAGUUUCUAAAAUAAUGACGUUUUCUCUUGCAUUUAUUAUUAUUAUUAUUAUUGUUGUUUUUGAUUUUCAUCUCUAUACGGUUUUCUAAAAGUCGAC